AAAAUAGAAUUUCGUAACAUUCCCACCAUUUCUCUCUCUCGCUGUAUCUCUCUCGAAGUCACUUUCUCUCUCCAAAAGCAAACUCUCUCUAGCACCACCAUUACAUUACCACCGCGUCGACAUGUCUAUUCACACAGAUUCCAACGCGUUGUCCAAUGACCUCUAAAAACUACUCACACUUCACUUGUAUGCAUUGACUCCAUUUCAAUCAACUCAUUUGCUUUUUAUUAAUGAGAGGAUUUACAAGGCACGAGCGGCGCUGGGCGUCGGACACAGUUCCCGGCGGGAGGAUUGCGAGUGAGUCGUCGUCUCCGGCGACGGAAUUGGCUUCUCCGGCGCCGGAGGAGGAGUUUGUUGAAGUAACGCUUGAUUUGCAAGACGAUGACACGAUCAUUCUUCGCAGUGUUGAGCCUGCGACAUUGACGGCGAGAAUUCCGGAUGAAGAAGCCGGACUGGAGAGUUCGGUGCCGGAGACGCCGUCGCGAUCGCCGACGGUGCGGAGGAGCUCGUCGAAUCGGUUGUUGCAAUUUUCUCAGGAGUUGAAGGCGGAGGCGGUGGCGAAAGCGAGGCAUUUCUCGGCGGAGCUACGGAGAUUCUCGUGGAGUAGGCAAGGAUCACGUGCGUCAUCGUCGUCGAUGAAUGUGCUUGGAGGUGGAAGUAAUGAUGCUAUCGAUUCGGCUUUAGCUGCUCGUGCAAUGCGACGACAACGAGCUCAGCUUGAUCGAACUCGCUCCGGUGCUCAGAAAGCGUUACGUGGACUUAAAUUUAUUAGUACUCGAAAAAGUAGCGAAAUCGAGGCGUGGGAGGAGAUUCAAGCAAAUUUCAACAAGUUAUCGAAAGACGGAUAUUUAAGCCGUUCGGAUUUUGCUCAAUGUAUAGGGAUGAAAGAUUCGAAGGAAUUUGCAUUGGAAUUGUUCGAUGCAUUGAGCAGGAGGAGGAGAUUGAAGGUGGAGAAGAUUAGUAGAGAGGAGUUGUAUGAGUAUUGGUCACAAAUUACGGAUCAGAGCUUCGAUUCUCGGCUUCAAAUAUUCUUCGACAUGGUGGACAAAAAUGAUGAUGGGCGUAUAACGGAGGAGGAAGUCAAAGAAAUCAUAAUGCUUAGUGCAUCUGCAAAUAAGUUAUCGAGAUUAAAGGAACAGGCUGAGGAGUAUGCAGCUUUGAUCAUGGAAGAAUUGGAUCCCGAAAGACUCGGUUAUAUUGAGUUAUGGCAGCUGGAAACAUUACUACUGCAGAAAGACACGUAUCUGAACUACAGCCAAGCACUGAGCUACACAAGCCAGGCCCUGAGCCAAAACUUAGCUGGCUUAAGAAAGAAGAGUUCAAUACAGAAAUUAAGCACAAAGUUUGUUUAUUAUCUAGAAGAAAACUGGAAGAGACUUUGGGUUCUGAGUUUCUGGAUUUUAAUAAUGGCUGGCUUGUUCACUUGGAAGUUUAUUCAGUAUAAAGAAAAGAAUGCAUUCAAAGUCAUGGGCUACUGUCUUCUCACAGCUAAGGGUGCAGCAGAGACACUGAAAUUCAAUAUGGCACUUAUAUUAUUGCCUGUUUGUAGGAACAUCAUUACUUGGUUGCGAUCCACCAAGUUAAGUUACGUUGUGCCGUUUGAUGACAAUAUCAACUUUCACAAGACUAUUGCUGCAGCCAUUGUGAUUGGUGUUAUACUCCAUGCCGGCAAUCAUCUCGCAUGCGAUUUCCCAAGGCUUAUAAAUGAAACUGACGAUCAGUAUUCAAACUAUCUAAUUGAUGAUUUUGGACCAUAUAAACCAGAGUACAUUGACCUUGUUCGAGGAGUUGAGGGCGUCACUGGAGUAAUAAUGGUGAUCUUGAUGGCCAUUGCCUUCAUACUUGCAACAAAGUGGUUCCGGAGAAGCCUUGUUAAGUUACCAAAACCCUGGGACAAGCUCACUGGCUUUAAUGCCUUCUACUACUCGCACCACUUAUUUGUAAUAGUUUAUGUAUUGCUCGUAAUCCAUGGCUUGUUCCUCUACCUUGUGCACAAGUGGUACUAUAAGACGACAUGGAUGUAUCUUGCAGUUCCUGUUCUUUUAUAUGCAGGGGAAAGAACCCUACGGUUCUUUCGAUCGGGAUUUUCAACUGUCCAUCUUUUGAAGGUUGCCAUCUAUCCUGGAAACGUACUCACGUUGCAGAUGUCCAAGCCUCCACAGUUUCGCUACAAAAGUGGACAGUACAUGUUUGUCCAGUGUCCAGUCGUUUCGCCCUUUGAGUGGCAUCCGUUUUCCAUUACCUCAGCUCCAGGAGAUGAGUAUCUUAGCAUUCACAUUCGACAGUUAGGUGACUGGACACAAGAACUUAAAAGAGUCUUCUCAGAAGCAUGUGAACCUCCUAUGGGUGGUAAAAGUGGGCUGCUCAGAGCUGAUGAAACAACCAAGAAGAGUUUGCCAAAGCUUUUAAUAGAUGGACCCUAUGGUGCUCCAGCACAAGACUACAGGAAAUAUGAUGUUUUGUUGCUUGUGGGACUUGGGAUUGGAGCAACACCUUUUAUCAGCAUUUUGAAGGAUUUGCUCAACAACAUUGUCAAAAUGGAAGAGCAGGCAGAAUCAGCUUCGGAUAUGAGCAGGAACUCCGAUCAGAGUCCUGGGACCAGUGAUUCUGGCUCUUUUAACAGGUUCUCUCCAAAACAGAGGAAACUCUUAAAAACUACCAAUGCCUAUUUCUACUGGGUCACUAGGGAGCAAGGUUCAUUUGAUUGGUUCAAAGGGGUUAUGAAUGAAGUUUCUGAACUAGAUCAAAGGGGAGUUAUUGAGAUGCACAACUAUCUGACCAGCGUUUAUGAAGAAGGAGAUGCCCGUUCAGCACUUAUCACCAUGGUACAAGCACUAAACCAUGCCAAGAAUGGGGUUGAUAUCGUAUCUGGCACAAGGGUUCGAACACAUUUUGCAAGGCCUAACUGGAAGAAAGUUUUCUCAAGAAUUUGUACGAAACACAAAAAUAAAAGAAUAGGGGUGUUUUAUUGUGGGGCGCCAGUCUUAGCUAAAGAAUUAAGCAAUCUCUGCUAUGAUUUCAAUCAGAAAGGCACCACCAAGUUUGAAUUUCACAAGGAACAUUUCUAAAGCAGAAGCAGGGACAUUAGUAUAUACUGAUAGUUAGGUCACAGGAAAAGGACACGAAGAUGAAGAAUAUAUCUAUUCCCUUCAAUUAGAGUUAGUGGAUCGUGAUUUUGUAAACAUUUUGUGGGAGAUCAAGAAACACCAAAAAUGGUUGUAUUACGGGCGUUUGGCAGCAUUAUUAUCGCAGACUGACAAGUAGCAAGUGCAGAGGGUGAUCAUAAUAGGCCGCCUGAGAACAGGACUCAGAUCAGAACUAUCUUGAUCUCUCAAAUUUCCUGAAGUAGGGCAGAAGAUCCUAAUGAUGCGACACUGCUGCAUGAGUAUUGUAUAGCCGUGUAUAUUUUCCCCUUUUUCUAUAUAUCAUAGACGAUAGAAAAUGAAAAUGUAACUAUAAUUUUGUACGAUUCAUAUAUUAAUAUUCAAAA